rnacentral:rRNA from 1 species
CCUACGGGAGACAGCAGUGAGUAAUAUUGGUCAAUGGCCGGAAGGCUGAACCAGCCAAGCCGCGUGAAGGACGAAGGUGCCAAGCAUUGUAAACUUCUUUUGUCAAGGGACAAAAUCAGGCUCGAGAGCCUGACCGAGGGUACUUGAAGAAAAACCAUCGGCUAACUCCGUGCCAGCAGCCGCGGUAAUACGGAGGAUGCGAGCGUUAUCCGGAUUUAGUGGGUUUAAGGGGUGCGUAGGCGGGGUGUUAAGUCAGCGGUAAAAGCCCGGGGCUAAACCCCGUCGAGCCGUUGAAACUGGCUGUCUUGAGAUGUCGAGAGGUAUGCGGAAUGCGUGGUGUAGCGGUGAAAUGCAUAGAUAUCACGCAGAACGCCGAUUGCGAAGGCAGCAUACCGGCGCCCAACUGACGCUGAGGCACGAAAGCGUGGGGAUCGAACAGGAUUAGAUACCCCUGUAGUC